CGUCAUUGGCCGAAAGGACAUUAAUGAUACAUUCGUAUGUGUGUGUACCCUCAGGGCUUUCUACAGUGGAGGGGGCAGGACUCAUGCCGCACAUAUACACACAAACAUGUGUUCCAGUCCGUUCAAAGGGUGUAUGGUGUGGGAAAGGAGAUGGGGGAGGUCCCAGCGUUCUUCACGGCCCGGGCAGCCAGGCUGUCAGGGACAGGCCCGGGUGAUGAAGCCUGUGAGGAGUUUGCAGAGAUGCUCCACACAACAAUGGUAAGAGCCGUCAGGUGUGUUUCUGUGCUUGUAUGACGUCUAACAGCAUAACAGAAUGGUUCCAGACGUCCUUUGCCCAAAGGUCAAGGGCAUGGGGAUUAUAUAUCAAGUGUCUCUGUCGUCAUGUUGGUUUCUAGAGAUCACCAGACAUAUCGCACGUGUACGACUGCACACACACGAGCAAGGCAGGCACAAAGCAGCUCAACAGACGAGUCCUCAUCAGCUGCAUCCGUUCAUAGUCAUGAACAGCUGUUUUAGUCACUGAAACAGCAUCCUUUUUUCUUAUUGAUAUUUAUGUGUGCUUUCAUUUUAUUUAAAACAAGUGUUAGACAUGCAAAAAUGUCUACAUUCUUGCUUAACUUGGACUAACCCUGUUAAAAAAUGCUAAUUUUGUUUUCUGAAUCAUUGUUUCUGGCACUGAAAGGGUUAGUUAGUCUGUGAAUUCUCCCCUGCCAACUCCCAGGCAGUUGAAGUAACCCAAUUCGGAGGCAUCUGUUCGGGGAAGGGCAUGUAUCUGCUUCCCCCUCGCCCUGAUUCCUCUCCGCUCAUCUCCUCCUCCCGGAGCUGUGGUUAGCCCUGCCCUUACAGGUCAUGUGACUUCUCUGAAACUCCCUCCUCCCCUGCCUCCCCCCGUGUUUCCAGUAAACUGCUGAAAGGAGGGGCUGAGUCAGUCUUCAACCAGCUUCCCUUUGACCACAGCUUGUUAAAGAAUUUGUCAACGUGGACUCCAGGGUGUAAAUUUUUUUCGUCCUUGUGAUAGAUUUGAAUUUUUUCAUCUCUCCCUCCCUGGACUGGUCCGAUUACGUCAGGCACCCAUAAUCACUUCCUGCACUUUGCCGUAGAAAGAGAGUGUGUGCGUAUGAGAGAGAGAGAGAGAGAGAGAGAGAGAGAGCGGCUCAUAUAAUGGACUUUGAUAUUUGGAGGCAUGUGUGCCAGAGACAUUUGUCUUGGUGCCUGUCUGAAAAGGUUUCAUUCAGAAAAAAGACGGGAAUAAUAAUCCAAGAAGGGGGGGGGGGGGUACAAUUUUGUUUUUAACUUGAUUACGAUCUUCCUGUGAUUCUCCCAGCUGGCGAUCUGAUUUUCCAGUAUUAGAUCAUGCGUAAUAUUUGCUUUUGCAAACUCACUUGCUCCACAGACAGAUAAAUUAACUUUUUGUGUAAAUGAAACGGAAACUGAUGCAAAUAAACUCUAAGCUACCACUGAAAUCUUUUACCUAAC
rnacentral:lncRNA from 1 species